rnacentral:lncRNA from 13 species
UUUCAGUUCCCAGAACUAAAAUAUGUAACGAACAGAGUGGACUAACACGGAACCCAAACCAGCUGCGCGCGUGCAUCGUGCAUACAUGUAUUUUGCCCCGCCCCACACCAAACGCGAUCACAACAGGCAGGUUAAAAUAUCAAAACAAACUCUGAACCAGUGACAUUAAUUUGGGGACAGGUCGAAAAGCAUUAAACAUGUAUGGCUAUUUAGCUAGCUUGCUGUUAUGUUUUGUCCUGGGAUAUAAACAUUGAGUUGUUGUUACCUGUUUUUGCUUUGUCAUUACAGGGUAUUGUCAUGUCAUUGUAGGGUAGCCUAGUGGUUAGAGCAUUGGACUCGUAACCGAAAGUUUGCAAGUUCAAAUCCCCCAGCUGACAACAUACAAAUCUGUCGUUCUGCCCCUGAACAGGCAGUUAAGGCCGUAGGCCAUCAUUGAAAAUAAGAAUUUGAUUUUAACUGACUUGCCUAGUUAAAUAAAGGUAAUAAAUUAUGGGGUAUUGUGAUGUCAUUUGCUGAGGAAAUAUUUUUAUUUCAUCCAUUUUAGAACAAGGCUGUAACGUAACAAAAUGUGGAAAAAGUCAAGGGGUCUGAAUACUUUCCAAAUGCACUGUAUUUCAUGAUAGAGAGGUGCCCUUUGUGAGCAUACGGAUGUUAAACUACAGCCUGUUAAAACACACAACUGGCCUGUGACCCAAACAACCUAUUCCCUUUAUUGUGCACUUCUUUUCACCAGAGCCCAUUGGACUCCGGUCAAAAGUAAGUCACUAUAGGGAAUAGGGAGCCAUUUGGGACCAAUGCACUAGGAGGCCUUGAUGAAGAUAGCCAGGUUAGUAAGACAGAAAGUCAGAAAGACACAAUACAGUUCAUUUACAACGGGUCAUUAUCAACAAUAACAGAGCUUCAACCACCCAAAACUUUAUUUGUACAGGGAGGAGGUAAUGACGGCAACCGUGAGAACACAUGGAACCUAUAGAAUGUACACAAAGAACCAAGCUCAAGAAAAUAAAAAGAUUAACACAUUUUUAAAAGGGAACAAGUCUUUGUUUUAACUGUGAAUAUUCAGUCUACAAUAUUUUAGAAAUAAUAAUAUACAAGUUGAGAAUAUUACACUUCUUCAGUUUUCCCACUCUAGUUAUUGCACUGGUGUUUCAGAUAUGAAGAUGUCUCUUGGUGGUUGAAGUUCUAGGCCAAAACACAGGACAGAGGCAGCAGCCUGGCCGGGGUCUAACCU